rnacentral:rRNA from 1 species
ACCAAGGCGACGAUGCAUAGCCGACCUGAGAGGGUGAUCGGCCACACUGGGACUGAGACACGGCCCAGACUCCUACGGGAGGCAGCAGUAGGGAAUCUUCCGCAAUGGACGCAAGUCUGACGGAGCAACGCCGCGUGAGUGAUGAAGGGUUUCGGCUCGUAAAACUCUGUUGUUAAGGAAGAACACUUGAGGUAGUAACUGGCCUUGAGAUGACGGUACUUAACCAGAAAGCCACGGCUAACUACGUGCCAGCAGCCGCGGUAAUACGUAGGUGGCAAGCGUUAUCCGGAAUUAUUGGGCGUAAAGCGCGCGUAGGCGGUAAAAUAAGUCUGAUGUGAAAGCCCCCGGCUCAACCGGGGAGGGUCAUUGGAAACUGUUUUACUUGAGUACAGAAGAGGAGAGUGGAAUUCCAUGUGUAGCGGUGAAAUGCGCAGAGAUAUGGAGGAACACCAGUGGCGAAGGCGGCUCUCUGGUCUGUAACUGACGCUGAGGUGCGAAAGCGUGGGGAUCAAACAGGAUUAGAUACCCUGGUAGUCCACGCCGUAAACGAUGAGUGCUAAGUGUUGGGGGGUUUCCGCCCCUCAGUGCUGCAGCUAACGCAUAAGC